GAGAGUUAAACAGUACGUGAAAUUGUUGAAAGGGAAACGAUUGAAGCCAGUCGUACCUUCGGGUAAUCAGCCUUUCGGGUGCGAUUCUGUGGAGUUUGAGGAGCUUAACACCUUCAUGCUUUGCAUAUUCGUGCUCUUGGGUGUACUUGCCCGUGUGGUUGGUUAACAUCAAUUUUGGUGGUCAUAAAAUGACUGGAGGAAUGUAGCUUCGAUCUCGUAUUGAAGUGUUAUAGCCUUCGGUAGAUGUGAUGAUCGAGAUUGAGGAUUGCAACGGAUACCCUUCGGGGCUACCUGUCUGAUCUCUGAUCGUUGUUCUGGUGCCGAAAGCUUGCUUACGGUUAUCAAAGUCGAUGGUCAAUAGGUUAGAACGGGUUAAAUUCGUUAAGGAUGUUGACGUAAUGGCUUUAAACGA
rnacentral:rRNA from 1 species